rnacentral:rRNA from 1 species
GAGGGGCUCGCGUCCCAUUAGAUAGAUGGCGGGGUAACGGCCCACCAUGUCGACGAUGGGUAGCCGAGCUGAGAGGCUGAUCGGCCACACUGGAACUGAGACACGGUCCAGACUCCUACGGGAGGCAGCAGUGGGGAAUAUUGGGCAAUGGGCGAAAGCCUGACCCAGCAACGCCGCGUGAGGGAAGAAGGCCUUCGGGUUGUAAACCUCUGUCCUAGGUGACGAAACAAAUGACGGUAGCCAAGGAGGAAGCCCCGGCUAACUACGUGCCAGCAGCCGCGGUAAUACGUAGGGGGCGAGCGUUGUCCGGAAUUACUGGGCGUAAAGGGUGCGUAGGUGGCCUUUUAAGUUGGAUGUGAAAUCCCCGGGCUUAACUUGGGUGGUGCAUCUAAUACUGGAGGGCUAGAGUGCAGGAGAGGGAAGCGGAAUUCCUAGUGUAGCGGUGAAAUGCGUAGAUAUUAGGAGGAACACCAGUGGCGAAGGCGGCUUUCUGGACUGUAACUGACACUGAGGCACGAAAGCGUGGGGAGCAAACAGGAUUAGAUACCCUGGUAGUCCACGCGGUAAA